rnacentral:rRNA from 1 species
UACAGAGGUCCCGAGCGUUGUUCGGAUUCAUUGGGCGUAAAGGGUGUGUAGGAGGUCGUGUAAGUCAGGCGUGAAAUCUCACCGCUUAACGGUGAAAUUGCGCUUGAUACUGCUCGGCUAGAGGAUUUGAGGGGGUAACGGAAUUCUUGGUGUAGCAGUGAAAUGCGUAGAUAUCAAGAGGAACACCAGUGGCGAAGGCGGUUACCUGGAAAAUUCCUGACUCUGAAACACGAAAGCUAGGGGAG